rnacentral:lncRNA from 1 species
GGUGGAAUAUUGCUGAAUGCGGCAGUAAACAACAAACCAAACCAAAACAUAUAUUACUGUCUACAUAUCCUAUUGGUAGGGAGUUAUGUAGAUUCUUAUUUCGAAACCAGUGGAGCUUAGUAUCCACAGUGCACAUAUAUGGGUUACGUUAUUGUAGUUUGUCCAAUUUUAUUAGUAAAGGAUGUAAUGGGAUUUGUUUUGUAAUGGGAUCGUGCCAUGUAUGUCAAGACAUUUGUUUGUACAUUAUAUUUGUAACACACGUUUAGAAGGAUAGAAAUUUAUCUUUGUCUUAGCUAAAUGCUUGGUACGGGCCUGUUGAAUAAAUUCAAUGUUUGUCUGGUAGGCUUGUCUAAUUUUGGAGGAAUUGUGGAUAUUUGAGAAUGGAAAUUGGCAAUUGUUAUGUUUGUAUGACUAUCCAAUUACAUUAAAGUUGCAAUUUAUGUAUUGUUCAAAUAUUUAUUUGACAUUUCCAGGACCAGUAAAGCUGCAAGACUUUGUCGGCCAGUCAAAAGUGGACGCUGCAAUCCAAGGUGAAACUUUCUUUCUCAUGGUGGGGAACACGCAUGAAGAUGUGGAUCAACCGUUUAGUGUAUUUGCAAGGGAACUUAGACAGAAGCCUGCAACAAACCGCGAUGCCCUCCUUCAAGAUUGGGGACAUCCGGACACCCACCACCAAGCUAUCAGACUUCAAGCCCUUCAUGCCUGCCCCAAGGGAAGCGACAACCCUCCCAACUAAAGUUCAAGAGGCAAUAGAGAAGAACAAUGAAAAACUGCAAAAAAAUCAAAGAUCACUCUGACAAAGCACCGAAGACAAGCGUCAGUAUCAGAACAAUAAAGAAGGAGCAGCAAGUUUUGCUGAAAUGAACAUAUUUUUUGUCUAAGCUAUGUGGCUGAGAUAUUGCCGAGGAUUGCAUUGCAGGAGUUUUGUACUUUGUAUGUUUUUGUUUCUUAGUAAAGCUGUGUAUUUAGAGUUGUAUAUAUAUAUACAUAUAUAAGAUGAGAUGUGCACAAUGAAAUUUAUGAAACAAUAUAUGCAGUUAUAUUGUAAAAUCUUGGUUGUGUUCUAUUUUUUUCCAUGUCUAACCUACUUUCAGAGUACCGUUUAUCACAUGUAGGUUGUUUCUUUGAAUUCCAACUGGGGAUUAUAUAUUUGGUUGGCCCCAUGGAAUAAUUAUGAAAUUUAUUUUUUGAGAAUCACAUUCACCUUUAAUGUUGUACACUUCAAAGUCGUCAUUGAAGAUGGUCACUGAAAUUCUCAUAAUAAUUUAGAUAAUUAUAGGGUAAGCUCAAGGUUCAAUGAUUUGCAUCUGUCUAGUAUACAAAGGUAUGAGGCCAACAUGUUGUUCCAUUGUUUAAUUCGAGUGACGUCAACUUUUCUUGAUAAAUUUGGUAAAUAUAAUACCAAGAUAGAUAUCUUCAAUUGCUGAAUUUAAUUUAAACU